rnacentral:rRNA from 1 species
UACGGGGGGAGCAAGCGUUGUUCGGAUUUACUGGGCGUAAAGGGCGCGUAGGCGGCGCAACAAGUCACUUGUGAAAUCUCCGGGCUUAACCCGGAGCGGCCAAGUGAUACUGUCGUGCUAGAGUGCGGAAGGGGCUACUGGAAUUCCCUGUGUAGGAGUGAAAUCCGUAGAUAUCUGGAGGAACACCGGUGGCGAAGGCGACUACCUGGCCUGUUCUUGACGCUGAGGAGCGAAAGCCAGGGGAGCGAACGGG